rnacentral:rRNA from 1 species
GGGGUGGGCAAGUCUGGUGUCAGCCGCCGCGGUAAUACCAGCACCCCGAGUGGUCGGGACGAUUAUUGGGCCUAAAGCAUCCGUAGCCGGUUCUGCAAGUCUUCCGUUAAAUCCACCUGCUUAACAGAUGGGCUGCGGAGGAUACUACAGAGCUAGGAGGCGGGAGAGGCAAGCGGUACUCAAUGGGUAGGGGUAAAAUCCGCUGAUCCAUUGAAGACCACCAGUGGCGAAGGCGGCUUGCCAGAACGCGCUCGACGGUGAGGGAUGAAAGCUGGGGGAGCAAACCGGAUUAGAUACCCGGGUAGUCCCAGCUGUAAACGAUGCAGACUCGGUGAUGAGCUGGCCUUGUGCUAACUCAGUGCCGCAGGGAAGCCGUUAAGUCUGCCGCCUGGGGAGUACGGUCGCAAGACUGAAACUUAAAGGAAUUGGCG